rnacentral:lncRNA from 1 species
GCCGCCUCAUCAUUCUUCGAUCUAAUAUUGCUUGAGGCUCAAAUUGAAUUUAUCUAUUAGAAGAGAUCUUGGGCAAAUAUUGCUGAGAGAUGAUGUUAUCAUCAAGUUUCUUUUUAAGAUAAGAAACAUGAAACACAGAAUAGAUCUUUGAAUGCUUUGGUAGAUCAAGACCGUAAGUAAUAGAACCAAUACACUCCAAUACCUUGUAUGGGCCAAAGAAGCA